GCAUGAGGUGCCUUGCGCUCUCUUUCCGCCCCCGUGCCCCGCUUCGCUGCGUUCCCUGUUUGCUUCGGUCGGGGCUCCCCCCGCAGCAUCCCCUCACAGCGUCCUCUCUCCGUCGCCCCUCAGCUGUCUCAGGUGCCUCCUCCCGGUGCCUCCUCAUAGUCUCCCUUCAGUCCCCUCAGUGCAUUAUUUCUCCCCCACGUCCUCGCAUCGGUCUUUCCUGUCUGCUUCUGUAGGGGCUCCCCCUCAGGACCUCAGAGCUGACCCCUCACAGGGUUCCGACUCCCUCAGAUGUCUGUUUCCCCCUCACAGCGUCCCCCAGUCUCCCUUCAGUCCCACCAGAGAUGUCCCAGUGCUCCUCUCACAGCGACACCUUCAAGUCUCCACAGUCUCCCCUCAGUCCCCUCAUAGUGACCCCCGUAAUCUCCCCUCGCAGUCCCACCAUGGAGGGCCCAUUGGCCCUUCAGAGUCUCCCCUCAGUCCCUCAGAGCCCUCGCUCCACAGUCCUCUCUCUAACUCCCCUUACAUGUCGCAAUGCCCCCCUCACAGUGCCCCCUCAAGUCUCCCCAUGAUCUGCCCUUCCCCUCUCAGUCCUUUCAGAGAACUUUUCAGAGAACCCCCACAAUCUCCUCUUUCAGUCCCAUUACGGAUGGCUCAAUACCCCCUCACAGUCUUCCCUCAUAUUCCUCAGAGCCUCCACCCCAGUCUCUCCUCUCAAUCCCACCAUGGAUGUCCCCUCUCAGUCUUUCAGUCGUCCUCUCAGACUCCCAUCUCAGUUACAUUUCCUCACAGUUACAUUUCCAGUCUGCCUUCUCAGUCUCACCAUGGAUGUCCCCUUUCAAUGCCCAACUCACAGCCAUCCCCCUCACAGUCUCCCCUCUCAGUUUCCCUUCAGUCACCUCUCAACUUUCCCUCUCAGUUGCACAGAGAUGCUCUCUCUUAAUGUCCCUCUCAGAGUGUCCCUUCUCAGUUUCCCCUCUCAAUCCCACUGUGGACAUUCCCUCUCAAUGUCCCCCUCACAACAUCUCCUCCCAAGCUCCCUCUCAGUGCCCCCAUUUUCCCCCAUGUCCUCAGAGCAGACACAUGAGGGCAAGUGUCCCUUUGGAUCUGACCCACUCUCAGGCACCAGCAAACCAAACCCAGCCUCGCUUUACAAACACUUUCUGCUGUCUAGACAGACUUCCCCAGCCCAAAACAGGUUUAGAAGACUGGAGCUCACAUACUUCCAUGGAUUUCCAUACUGGUUCCCAACCUGAGAAUCAGGUCGUAUAAGCCCGGUGAUGUGUGUGGCAGCAGAGCUCCCUGUACCCAAACUGGUUGCUUGGGGCUGUUUUCAUCACCUUCAUGUUGGAAUGUCCUCCCAGAGCAGCCACAAUGGGAAGAGAGGCUGGAGAAGGGCUGGACACAAUUCUAAGAUAUGCUGAGGAGCUCCAUGAGCCGAGAUGGAUUCAACAGCAAUAAUUUAUUGUUUUCAAGGAGAUCUAUAAUGACAGAUUCCUUUGCAAAGAGAUGGCCCCAGCUGCCCCUGCAUGGGAUCAGAAGAGCACUCGGUUAAUGGCAGGAGGGAGAGGAAGACCUUGGCUGUUAUCCACUGCUCCUGGAAAGAGAGUUAUGAUUAAAUACCCUGAAGGCCUAAGAGUAGGCUGGGGUACCCCAGCCCUUUGGUAUCAGUAUUGCAAGACUUGGAUGGCCUCACCCACUGGUAAUGCCAAACAUGGAACAAGCUCAGAGUAGGAGGAUUUAAUGAAGAGAAAAUUUUCAAAGACACUAUAUAUCAAAUACACCAGUAUUCCCAGUCUGGUCUCCAGAGCAUGGCUCCCUGCUCCCCAGCUGAUGGGUAAGCCCUUGAAAGGAUUCCUGAGGCCUUCAUCUGUGGUGUUCAGGAGGGAGGGUGAAGCAGGUGCUUAAUGGAUAACUCCUUUAUUCAGGGACUAGUUCCAAGAGAAAUUGCAUAAUAAAAUCUGCACUGCUGCA